ensembl:lncRNA
AACCAAUUAAAAAGCCUGCGUCUGCGCAAACCGCGUCUCUCGAGUGACUCCCACCUAACAGAUCACAACCGUCUGUCUCUCUCUCCUUCUCUCUCUCUCUCUCUCAGAGUCCGUAUUUUUGCGCUCUCGCCACACAUUGGCAGGAUAAUAGCAGCCACAAAUCAUCCCGUAGGCUUCACUGGGCAGGAAAUUGAUGUUCUUUCAUUUCAAAACAAUGGAGAGCCUUAUGAGGGGCCUGAUGAUGUCAUAACUCCAGCGGCUGACAGGUUUGGGGGGGCGCAGGGACAGCUCAAUCAAUCCCAGCAUGCACUGGGGCUGCCAUCGAAACGCAGAGCAGACAUUCUCAAUCAAACGCCACAGUCGAAGCGUUGUCUCACACACACACACACACACACACACACACACGGCUGUAACAUGGUGAUGUAAAACCGCUGCAGGUCUGUAAAGUCAGUCGACGAGGGUUAUAAAUCUUCAAAGUUUUCGAGAGGAGUGUGUGUGUGUGUGUGUGUGUGUGUGUGUGUGUGUGUGUGUGUGUGUGUGUGUGAUUUACCGUUUCAGACCUCAUUAUAACUGAUGUGACAAUCACUUCAAGUCAACAUGACAUCUAAAUUGACCCUAUUUACUUUCCUGGUCUUGUUGAACAUUUUUCUUCUAAAAUAAAUUUUAAAAUAAAAAUGUCUUUAUUUGUUAA